rnacentral:rRNA from 1 species
AUUGAACGCUGGCGGCAGGCCUAACACAUGCAAGUCGAGCGAGCGGCGGACGGGUGAGUAAUGUAUGGGAAACUGCCCGAUGGAGGGGGAUAACUACUGGAAACGGUGGCUAAUACCGCAUACUAUCGGAUGUGCCCAUAUGGGAUUAGCUAGUGGGUGGGGUAAAGGCUCACCAAGGCGACGAUCCCUAGCUGGUCUGAGAGGAUGACCAGCCACACUGGAAAUGAGACACGGUCCAGACCCCUACGGGAGGCAGCAGUGGGGAAUAUUGCACAAUGGGCGCAAGCCUGAUGCAGCCAUGCCGCGUGUAUGAAGAAGGCCUUCGGGUUGUAAAGUACUUUCAGCGGGGAGGCGUUACCCGCAGAAGAAGCACUGGCUAACUCCGUGCCAGCAGCCGCGGUAAUAC